rnacentral:rRNA from 1 species
AUUGAAGGCUGGCGGCAGGCUUAACACAUGCAAGUCGAGCGGGGUGAUGGUGCUUGCACUAUCACUUAGCGGCGGACGGGUGAGUAAUGCUUAGGAAUCUGCCUAUUAGUGGGGGACAACAUCUCGAAAGGGACGCUAAUACCGCAUACGUCAUACGGGAGAAAGCAGGGGAUCACUUGUGACCUCGCGCUAAUAGAUGAGCCUAAGUCGGAUUAGCUAGUUGGUGGGGUAAAGGCCUACCAAGGCGACGAUCUGUAGCGGGUCUGAGAGGAUGAUCCGCCGCACUGGGACUGAGACACGGCCCAGACUCCUACGGGAGGCAGCAGUGGGGAAUAUUGGACAAUGGGGGGAACCCUGAUCCAGCCAUGCCGCGUGUGUGAAGAAGGCCUUAUGGUUGUAAAGCACUUUAAGCGAGGAGGAGGCUCUUUUGGUUAAUACCCAAGAUGAGUGGACGUUACUCGCAGAAUAAGCACCGGCUAACUCUGUGCCAGCCGCCGCGGUAAAAC